rnacentral:rRNA from 1 species
UACGUAGGGGGCGAGCGUUGUCCGGAAUUAUUGGGCGUAAAGCGAGCGCAGGUGGUUUAUUAAGUCUGGUGUAAAAGGCAGUGGCUCAACCAUUGUAUGCAUUGGAAACUGGUAGACUUGAGUGCAGGAGAGGAGAGUGGAAUUCCAUGUGUAGCGGUGAAAUGCGUAGAUAUAUGGAGGAACACCGGUGGCGAAAGCGGCUCUCUGGCCUGUAACUGACACUGAGGCUCGAAAGCGUGGGGAGCAAACAGG